AGAAUCAGUCGUCACCCUUCAGCUGCUAGUCUGGGAGGGCAGAGUGAUUGUAACAGGUGACAGCUGCUGUAGUGCAGAGGUUCCCGAGAUGGAGAGCUGACACAGGACAGCAACCCAGAGAAGAAAAAAUGUGAGCUGGACCUUCAAUGCUUGGCAGCAUUGAAGAGGAAAAGCAUCUCAGAUAAAGGAAAAGAAAGACGUUCAACUCUACCAACUGUCUAUAGCAUUUCACAGUGUUGUGGAUGAUUAUGCUGUCUAGGGAACUGAGUAGUUACUGCACUUUCAAAAACAUCAUCUCACAGUCCUGAGGUCCUGCAAAGUUUGUGUCUUUCCAUUCUUACAUAUAACUUACUUAACAGUUACUGCUAUCAAGAAAGUCUUGCCUUCUCACACUUCUUCCAUUAUUUUUAUGCCCUAUUUCAGUGAUCUAUCCACACAUCCAUCUUCAAGCUUCCCAAAGGCAGGAAUCACCUAUUGUUCGUCUGUAAACUCCAAUGAGAAACAUACAGUCUGGUGUAUGGGAGGUCAUCAAAACAAGUGUGGAGGUAUAAGCUAAGACUGACAACUGCCUCCCAAGUUUCUAUUCAAAAGUAAUCAUUUUGGAUGUAAAUCUCAUCAGGAAUGUGUUUAAACUCAGGAACUGCUGAAUUGUACUGUAACUUGGCUCAUCCCAAAUAGUGCAGUUGUCUUCACAAUGGAGAGACUGUCACAGCCUAAAAAGACACGUGACUCUGAGCAUCAGUUUACUGGCUGCCCACUCAAUGAUUCAGACUCCUCCAUUCUUUGUGUGGAAGAGAACUGGCCUUCCGGGAGCCUGAGGCCAAGUGAGAGAACCUUCUGAAAGCCGUCACUGCAUGGGGAGCCUGGACUUACCC
rnacentral:lncRNA from 1 species